CUGCGAGAUGUGGUGAAGGAAUUCAAGCCACUGCAAAGCAAACCCUUAAUGUGGCAGACCUCUGGGCAGACACAAGCAUGAAGAGGACAAACCAGGCACUUCAGAAAGCACAUGGUGAUCGCUGUCGAGGAGGGGCUCUCAUGUAAAUACAAGGCAGUGCUACUAUUACUGUUCAUGGUUAUAGUGCCGCUUCUGAAAAUAGCAGCCUAAGAGGUCAGCAGAACUGUUUGAGAAGGAAGGCAGGAAAUUGAUUUGUAAGCAUCAUCAAAACUCCGUUGGUUUCCGCUUCCUCUUUCAGACUGACCACAUGGUUUUCAAGAGGAUGAGAAAGCAGUUUGUCGUAGCGGUUAGGUGCUCCAGAUGUCAGAUCACCUGCUUCACGAUUUCAGCUGAGACUUGCAAAUUCAUUUCGUCCAUGUCCAUAAGCUAAUUUCAAGACUUAGUCCCCGAAGCAAAACUGAAGGCUAUAAAAAUACCCCCCCGGUACAUCUUCUGAGCUGAAAGACAUACGCUGCAGGCCUGUUUUCAUGGUUAGGACCGCUUCUACUUUGGGGCUGCCCCGGAAUUUUCAGAAAUGACUGGGAAGAUCCAAGGGACCCACAGAGAUUCGCCAGGAGCAGCUGGCUUCGUUUCCCUGCAGUAUCCUGUGGAGAGGCAGGAAAGCUAUAUAUGUAUAUGCACACACGGAUUUAUGAAAGCGGUGUACACGCUGUAAUGGAAAUGGAGCACCGGCCUUCAAAAGAGAAACCGUCCCUAUGAAAAAGAUAAAUUUACAAAAAGAAACUCUUUUCCAGCAAGAGUUCGGGGAUGAGACCGUCUCAUCACAAGUUUAAAUACAUUAAAGAAUUUUAUUUGCCAUCUGAGCUGCUAUUUCAAAGCCAAAAUGUGAGCCCAUUGUGGGAAUUGUAGCAACAACUGAACUUUGCUGACUUCUGAAAGGGGAUUCUGGGUCUCCCUAGGCCUUUUGAAGUUCCAUUUUGCUUUGUCUUCAGAUGCCUGGACAUAAUCAGCCCAUUGAGGCCUUGAGCUGUCUCAUGAACGCAAGCAUUUGCUCACAAUUCACUAUCAGGGCUGGAGACAAGGAGAGGUUCAGAUCCCUUUGACACCAGGGCGCCUGGUCAGGAAGUUCUCAGAUGGGCAGCAGUGUGAACUUUCAGCGGAACUGCUGCCCAGUGGGUCGCCCGUCCUUUCAAUCUCCAUUGGCUCAGGUCUUCAAAGGCUGGGGGCAUCUGUGUGGCUGACCUGACACAUCUCUUUCCCAUGGGAUGAUGGGGGUGGAGGGGAUUGAAAUGACUUACCUUCGCUUCUCAAGUUUGAGUCAGAGCAUGUGUGAGACCCCCAAAGAUCAAACAACCCCCCCCCAGUUGCCCCCUCGUUGCAGUGGUCACUGAAGGAGCAUCUUCUUGUGCACACACACUUACAUGAGUGCAAACACUGUCCUUCAAUCAUUAUAACAGCCGUGUAGGCAAUUUAAGAUGAGGGCACUGAGUGAAUUCACUCAAGAACACACAACUAGCAGGAGAGCUGGGAUUUGAACUCAGGUAGCUCUGUCUUCCUAUCCAUUCCCUGCUAUAGUGCCCAAGGCUAGGGAAUAAAAUCAGAGACCUAGCUAUGUAGAGAGUAGUG
rnacentral:lncRNA from 1 species